GCAAAAGAUAUUUUACCCUCACUUCUCUCAGUCUCAGCUAUCCCCCUUGCUCUCUAAAACCCUGCAAGAAAACACUCACAUCACGCACAUUUAUUCUCAUAGUUUUGAAUUUUAGCUCCCAUUUUUGAUUUUCUUGCAGAGUCAAUUGUCAUAUAUAUAUAUGCAUACUAAGCACAAGUUUAUAUAUUUCUAAGAAUUGUUUAAAGAUGGCUGCUUUGAAUGCAAUUUCAGUAUGUCCUCACAAGCUCUUCUGGUGUCAGCCAAAGCCCAGAAAACGCUUCAUUUCCUGUUGUGUAUCUACCCCUUCAGUAAAGGGUUCGCGUGGGUCCAAAGUGCCUCGCAGAAGGUCUGGAAGAACAGAAGGAGCUGGAAAGAGUAUGGAGGAUUCUGUUAAGCGCAAGAUGGAGCAAUUUUAUGAAGGCUCUGACGGGCCUCCUUUACGCAUACUACCAAUUGGGGGUUUAGGAGAAAUUGGGAUGAAUUGCAUGCUAGUAGGGAAUUUUGAUCGUUAUAUCUUGAUCGAUGCCGGUGUAAUGUUCCCAGACUACGAUGAACUUGGUGUCCAGAAGAUUAUACCUGAUACCACUUUUAUCAAGAAAUGGAGCCACAAAAUUGAAGCAGUUAUUAUUACUCAUGGGCAUGAAGACCACAUUGGUGCGUUGCCUUGGGUUAUUCCGGCUCUGGAUUCUCACACACCAAUAUUUGCCUCAUCCUUCACGAUGGAGCUUAUCAAAAAGCGCUUAAAGGAGUUUGGGAUCUUUGUUCCAUCUAGACUUAAGGUGUUUAAGACUCGGCGGAGAUUUGUUGCUGGUCCAUUUGAAGUUGAACCCAUUAGAGUCACGCAUUCUAUUCCAGAUUGUUCUGGGUUGGUUUUCCGGUGUGCUGAUGGUACUAUUUUCCACACAGGGGACUGGAAGAUAGAUGAGUCACCACUGGAUGGGAAAGUUUUUGAUCGUGAGGCUCUGGAAGAACUUUCGAAAGAAGGAGUGACUUUGAUGAUGAGCGACUCAACAAAUGUACUUUCACCGGGAAGAACACUAAGUGAGACAGUUGUGGCAGAUUCGUUAUUAAGGCAUAUCUCGGCAGCCAAAGGAAGGGUUAUCACUACUCAAUUUGCUUCAAAUAUUCACCGGCUUGGUAGUGUAAAAGCUGCAGCAGAUUUGACUGGCCGGAAGUUGGUAUUUGUUGGUAUGUCCUUGAGGACAUACCUUGAUGCUGCGUGGAAAGAUGGAAAAGCACCGAUUGAUCCUUCAACUCUGGUGAAAGUGGAAGAUAUCGAUGCUUAUGCACCAAAGGACUUGCUGAUUGUCACCACUGGUUCUCAAGCAGAACCACGUGCUGCCCUGAAUCUUGCAUCAUAUGGAAGUAGUCAUUCCCUCAAGCUGAACAAAGAAGAUCUGAUUUUAUAUUCUGCAAAGGUAAUCCCAGGUAAUGAGACAAGAGUCAUGAAAAUGCUAAACCGUGUAUCAGAAAUUGGAUCAACGAUAGUGAUGGGGAAGAAUGAACUGCUGCAUACAUCUGGUCAUGCCCAUCGUGAAGAACUGGACGAGGUACUAAAAAUUGUUAAGCCGCAACACUUCCUACCUAUUCAUGGAGAACUCUUAUUCUUGAAAGAGCAUGAGUUGCUGGGGAAGUCAACUGGCAUUCGGCAUACUGCAGUUAUAAAGAACGGAGAGAUGCUAGGGGUGUCACAUUUAAGAAACAGAAGAGUUCUAUCAAAUGGUUUCAUUUCUCUGGGUAAAGAGAAUCUCCAGUUGAUGUACAGUGAUGGUGACAAAGCAUUUGGCACAGCAACUGAACUUUGUGUUGAUGAGAGGAUGAGAAUUGCAUCAGACGGCAUCAUUGUGGUUAGCAUGGAAAUUUUGCGCCCUCAAGCAGCAGAUGGUUCAGUUGAGAAGGCUUUAAAAGGAAAAAUAAGAAUUACUACGCGAUGCUUAUGGCUUGAUAAAGGAAAACUUUUGGAUGCACUUCAUAAAGCUGCACAUGCUGCACUGUCGAGCUGUCCUGUAAAUUGCCCUUUGGCCCACAUGGAAAGAACUGUGGCUGAAGUCUUGAGAAAAAUGGUAAGGAAGUACAGUAGCAAACGACCAGAAGUCAUAGCUAUUGCUACUGAGAAUCCGGCUGGAGUUCUUGCUGAUGAGAUUAAUAGAAAACUAUCGGGAAAGCCGCACAUUAGUUCUGAGAUGUCGGUAUUGAGAAAGGCAGUUGAUGGACAUGAAAAAGCGAGACUACCAAUUAAUAUACUGGAAGAUGGCAACGGUCUUGCAAUUGAACGAGAUACAACAGCACAGGAAUUAGAAGAUCAUGAUUAUGAGGAGCAAGUUCAACAUGAGGAAGUAAUUGUAUCAAAUUCCAAAUUGCCAGAUAAAGCUCCAAAUGUUGAUGAAUCAGAUGAUUUUUGGAAGUCAUUCAUAUCACCAUCAGGGCUCAAGCAGUCAGAAGGUGACAGUGAUUUGCUUCCAGCAGCAGCCCACCGGGAAAAGGCCAAAGAAGAAAGCAGCGAACUAGACUCUGUCCUGCCAAAAUCUCGACAGACAACUUCCAAGACUGCAAAAAGGAAUAAGUGGAAACCUGAAGAGGUCAGGAAGCUGAUUAAACUGCGGGGAAAACUCCAUAGUAGAUUCCAAGUCCUCAAAGGGCGGAUGGCUCUCUGGGAAGAGAUAUCUUCAAGUUUAUUGUUGGAUGGAAUUGGUAGAAGUCCUGGACAGUGUAAAUCUCUUUGGGCUUCACUGGUUCAGAAAUAUGAGGAAAGUAAGCGUGAUACAAAAUCCCAGAAGAGCUGGCCAUACUUCGAGGAUUUGGACAAGAUCUUAUCGAACUUGGAGACCAAUGCGUCCAAAUGAUUCUAAUGCAACUCUUCUAGCUGUUUUCAGAUCAAUAUAUUCAUGAUGGAUGGGCACAACUUGCUUUGUGAGUCACUAGAACGAAUACAGAGGGCUUGAUCAUGAAAGGUGGGCGACACUCGAUGCCCUCUCAAUAGGUCAGCCUAGGAGCCUGGGGACUAGAGUUUAGCGGACAUUGGGUUGGGUUCGUGGAUUUACAUGUCAACUGACGACUAUAUUUGAGAUGGAGUUUGCACGUUCUCAAAUUCAUAUCGGGAUAAAGAUUCUAUUGGAUGAAUGCUAUUUUAAGGUGUAAAUAAAUGGGUUGCUAUGAUAAUAAUCUAUCAAUAGGAAGACGUUUUCGUGGAUUUGCAUACAAAUUGUGUGAUUUCUCAUGGGUGAUUUUGAAGAUAGCACACGUUUGCGUGGGUGAUUUUCAAGAUGAUAAGAAGGAUGUAUUCAUGAUUCAAUAAAAACAUGGGCUUGUAGCUUAGUCUGAUUGGGCACACG